rnacentral:rRNA from 1 species
CAAAAACAUAGCUUUUUGGUGAAAGUAAAAAGUAGGGUCUGCCCAGUGAGUAAUUUUAACGGCCGCAAUAUUUGUGCGAAGGUAGCAUAAUCAUUUGUCUUUUAAUUGAUGACUGGAAUGAAUGGCUGGACGGGGAUAAGCUGUCUUAUGUAUAUAUAUUUGAAAUUUACUUUUAAGUAAAAAGGCUUAAAUAUUUUAGAGGGACGAGAAGACCCUAUUGAGUUUAAUAGAAUUUAUUUAAAUUUUUCUUAAAUUUUUAUGUAAUCUAUUUAGUUGGGGAGAUUUGAUAUUAUUAACUAUAUAAGAAUUAAUAGACUUUAAGUUUUUAGGAUCCAUAUUUUAUGAGUGUUAAGGUAAAUUACCUUAGGGAUAACAGCGUAAUAUUUUUUUAGAGUUCAAAUCGAUUAAAAUGAUUACGACCUCGAUGUUGGAUUAAGGAACCUAAUUUGGAGAAAAUUUUAAUUUAGGUAGUCUGUUCGACUAUUAAAUCUUUAC